CGGGGGACAGUGGCUGACCAGAGAGGCGGGGAGGAAGCCUCCGAGGGACCUCACACCUGCGGAGGAGCAGGGUUCCAGCUGCACAUUUGAGAAGGUGAAGCAGCUCAGAACACCACUAAGGAAGGGAGCAGAGAUGCCAAGGCAGUUGUGGCUACAGAGCGGUGUUGUUCCAAGAGGAACAGCCGAAACCUGGGGAAGGCGUAAGCUGAUACAGGCCUCUUUCUGCCACACUGGGCGCUCGGCAAGCACGCAGGUCACUGAGCUCCCCACAGUGCUUUCCACUGCUGUGUCCGCCACGGGGUCCCAAAUUCCACGUUAGUCCAUAGGUUUCUGCCCAGUCACCCUGCAGGUUGCAACUUUAUGGCCCUGCGGGACAUUAACCCGUUGGAACUGACAAACAAAGCCAAUUCAGCGUUUCUUUAAUUAUGUAACUGCUCCUGGGAGUGUCCUUCACACCAGCUCUACCCGCUUAUCCGUCUUCCUUGUACUGCUGAGUUUGCUAAAGGAGUCAAUUCUCACAAGGUCCCUUUAACGCCCUGCAAGCUCGGCAGCUGUGUCCAUUCAGGCCCUUCUCUGCACCUUCCUUCCGACAGACACUUACUUAUCAGGUAAACCUACAGGGGCACAGAGGAGGCGGACCACCCUGGCUGCAAACCUGAAACACGGCCGGCCGCAGGACUGAGGCGCCCAAGAGCUUUCCACAGCCACCGCUCGCGAGCGCGAAGUCCCCAGGAAUGAAACUGCAAGCCAUGGGCAGCGUUUCUGCUUACACUGCUCCACUUAAAGAUAAAAGAUGAUAGGAGACAGGGAGACAGGUGUUUCUGCAAAAGGGAAGGGGCCCCGAGGAGGGGAGGGGGCACCGGGAGGGCAAGAGGAAGUAAAGAGUGAAGCCGGCUGCCUGUGCCGGCUCCCCACCGCGAUGAUGGGCUGCAAAUGUGUACAAAUGAAAACUUUUUAAAAAAUACCUCGCUUACGUGGGCAAAAAGCAAGCGUCCUCUACAAUUAUUCAGCAAACCAAGCAGUGCAAACUGCUGUUUGCACAUUCCUAGCCUGCAGUCAGAUUUCAGUUUCCUCUUUCUGCCUCUGACCCACUUUAUCAGACUCCACCCCAGGGCUGGGGACGAGCCUCUGCCCAGCAAAGCGAGGCACAGACUGACCCGGGCACUGGGUGAUUCAGACCUGAGGCGGCCCAAGCGCACUUCCUGGUCCCGCACCCGGAAGCUGACGCAGCAGGCCAGGAGUGUCUGGGGCGCACAGUGGGACCCCUCGGCUCCCGAGGCCGCCGCGCUGCGGGGAGGAGGCGCCUCACCCCGAGGAGCUGCCCUGAGCCCCCGCGGACCAGCGCGAGGCGGGUGCGCGCACCGAGGGGCACGGCAUUCCCGACCCCAGAUCCACUGGGCCGGCGCCCGCAGGGCGAUCUCAGCGCGGAAUGCGGGCGCAGAGAGCACCCCAGCCCCUCCGCUGUGCCUGCGCAGCGUGACGCUGCAUUUUCUCCGCCCGCAGCUCAGGGGCCGAGCGGCUACCUCUCCGCCGCGCGUCCCGCUGCCUGCCGGUCAGGUGAGAUGCUCGGCAGCCGGGUCACUCUAAGACGUCCCUCAGCCUUCAGCAACUGGGGCUACACGGCAGGAGCCUCAGGUUAGACGCUGACUGCUCCCUCAGGAAAUGACUUUCUCCUUGGCACACAGUCAGGCUCGUAGGCUUGGCCGGAAUGUCCUUCCUGGCUUUUGCAGAAACACGCCAGGCACUGCCGCUUGGGGUGACCCGGUACUGUGUCAUGGAUCACCCUCCAGUCCUGUGAUGGUGGGGAUUUCGGUAACUCCCUUUGGUUGUUGGAUUUCUUUUUUUAUUCUUUGUCUUUUUUUGAGAUAGGGUUUCACUAUGCAGUUCAGCCUCUAACUCACUUUGUGGCCCAGGCAGCGAUCCUCCUGCCUCAGCCUCCCAAGUGCUGAGAUUACAGGCAUGCAACACCACACAAACGAUCUGUUUUCCACAUACUUGUUUUUAGAAUGGCCUUGUUAGGGCCUAAACCACCCCCUAGCCCAGCCACUUGGUUGACAAUUACUUAUAUUUUUUAAAAAAGGAAACACACACACACACAAAACCUUCAGAAAACAAAUUUCUUAAAAUUUAAAUUGUGAAAGAUGAUGUGUCCCAGCAUCUCAGUAAAUUUGGUAUACAGCUUAAUGGAGGUAACCUAGAAAUAGCUUCUAGAAUGUUUCUAGGUAACACAGAAAAAAGUCUGACAUCAACGUGAAUAGAUAUGGACUUAUAGAAAAACGCCUAGAUCAAAACAUGCUUUCAGGGAUUAGUAUUUUUCAAGGAUUCUAAAUAGUAAAAAAGGACCUGGCAUAGUUAUGUUCACCUGUAGUCCUGGGCUACAGUUAGUUUAAGGCCAGCCUGAACUACAUAGUGAGACUCCUGUCUCAUUUUUAAAAAGGUUCAAAGCAAAGAAAGGUGAAACUUUUAUGCUGUUAGAAAUCAGUGUAGGGGGCUGGGGAUUUAGCUCAGCGGCAUAAGCACCUGCCUUGCAAGCAGGCGGUGAGGAGUUCCGAUUCCCCGUACCGAUAAAAAUGAAAAAGACAAAAAAAAAAAAAAAAAAAAAAAAAAAAAGAAAAGAAAAAAGAAAAAGAAA